UACGAAGGGGGCUAGCGUUGCUCGGAAUCACUGGGCGUAAAGGGCGCGUAGGCGGCUCUGCACGUCCGUUGUGAAAUCGCCCGGCUCAACUGGGCGGGUCAGCGGAUACGGCAGAGCUUGAGCAAGCUAGGGGGCAAUGGAAUUCCCGGUGUAGUGGUGGAAUGCGUAGAUAUCGGGAGGAACACCAGUGGCGAAGGCGGUUGCCUGGGCUUUGGCUGACGCUGAUGCGCGAAAGCGUGGG
rnacentral:rRNA from 1 species